rnacentral:rRNA from 1 species
GCGGCAGGCCUAAUACAUGCAAGUCGAACGGCAGCGGGUCCAGCAAUGGAUGCCGGCGAGUGGCGCACGGGUGCGUAACGCGUAUGUAACCUACCUUUGACUGGGGGAUAGCCCCGAGAAAUCGGGAUUAAUACCCCAUAAAAUUAUGAAGUGGCAUCUCUUUAUAAUUAAAGCUCCGGCGGUCUUAGAUGGGCAUGCGUGACAUUAGCUAGUUGGUGAGGUAACGGCUCACCAAGGCGACGAUGUCUAGGGGUUCUGAGAGGAUUUUCCCCCACACUGGUACUGAGACACGGACCAGACUCCUACGGGAGGCAGCAGUAAGGAAUAUUGGGCAAUGGGCGCAAGCCUGACCCAGCCAUGCCGCGUGAAGGAUGACAGCCCUAUGGGUUGUAAACUUCUUUUGUACGGGAAAAAACCCCCGGUCGUGAACCGGGGUUGAUGGUACCGUAAGAAUAAGCAUCGGCUAACUCCGUGCCAGCAGCCGCGGUAAUAUGGAGGAUGCAAGCGUUAUCCGGAUUCAUUGGGUUUAAAGGGUGCGCAGGCGGAAUGAUAAGUCAGUGGUGAAAUCCUACGGCUCAACUGUAGAACUGCCAUUGAUACUGUCCUUCUUGAGUACACUUGAAGUGGGCGGAAUGUGUCAUGUAGCGGUGAAAUGCUUAGAUAUGACACAGAACACCGAUCGCGAAGGCAGCUCACUAAUGUGUAACUGACGCUCAUGCACGAAAGCGUGGGGAUCAAACAGGAUUAGAUACCCUGGUAGUCCACGCUGUAAACGAUGAUCACUCGAUGUUGGCGAUAUACAGUCAGCGUCUAAGCGAAAGCAUUAAGUGAUCCACCUGGGGAGUACGGCCGCAAGGUUGAAACUCAAAUGAAUUGACGG